CAAACUCAGGACCUUGAGCUUGCAAGAUCUCCACAGCAACUUGAAGAUUGUGUGUGAGAGGAGGAGGAGAAGGAAGAGGAGGUGACCUAAUGUGUGUGUCUUCACCAUACUCCCUGUCUAGGGCUCCUCUAAAAUGAGUGACCACCACCCUCCCAGUGAUAUCUUCGUCUAACAGUCCAUGGAAAAGUAGGAUUGAUGGUGGACUCCGACCGGGUUGGAUGCACUCAAUGCAUACAGCCUGCUGAUGAGUGAGUGAAGGACGGCACAAGCCUGGAAGGUUGAAGAGCAGAGAGAACAAAGCACAGCAGUACACACAGCGCCUAUGUAGCCCAAAGCUUGCAGAGUGGGAAACCUUUUAUGUUUUCCUUUUUGUGAUUUCUCUCUUGGUUUUUUGGUUGGUUUGGUUUGUUUCCUUGGAGACAAUACCAUGUUUUAAAAGGCCUAGCCGGGCGUGGUAGUGCACGCCUGUAAUCCCAGCACUCGGGAGGCUGAGGCAGGAGGAUCACUGUGAGUUCCAGGCCAGCCUGGGCUGCAUAGUGAGUUCCAGUUCAGCCUGGACUACAUAGGGAGACCCUGUCUCAAAAAACCAAAAGCUAAAUAAAUAGCAAACUAAAAAUCCUAGUAGUCUUAAAACCCUGUUCAUCCUGUAGGGUUAAUGUGGUCUCUCAACUUUGUUUCCUGUGUAACUACAGAUAACUUCUGUUGUAGCCUCACAGGUCUACCUGUUGUACUAUAACAGUACUAUACAUCAAUAGUGUUAUUAUGACUUUAAUUAUAUAAAAGCCAAGUGUUUAGUCAG
rnacentral:lncRNA from 1 species